rnacentral:rRNA from 1 species
AGGAAUGUAUAGCAAUAGCUACUUGUAUCAUUAUAGUAAUGAUACAAGCUCGACUAUGUUGAAUAAAAUUCUAGGUAGAAUUAUGAUAAUGACAUUGUCUGCCUAUGUGUCUUGACCAAAUUACGUGCCAGCAGUCGCGGUAAUACGUAGAAGACUAGUGUUAUUCAUGUUUAGUCGGUUUAAAGGGUACCUAGACGGUGAAUCAAGCUUUCAAUAAAUAAAAAAAGGGACUAAUUCGCUAGAGUUACUUACGAGGGGGUAUUAAAGUACUGCUGGUGUAGAGAUGAAAUUCUGUCAUACCUCUUUUCGAAAGAAGAAUUAUGGCACAGGUAUAGGCGAAGGCAUCCCCUUAUGUGAUAACUGACGUUGAGGGACGAAGGCUUCAUGUAACAAACAGGAUUAGAUACCCUAGUAGUUGAAAGCAGAAAAUGAUGAAUGUCAUAGAUUAGAUGUCUAAGUUUAUUCUAUAAAUGAAAGUGUAAGCAUUCCACCUCAUGAGUAAUUUGGCAACAUUGGAAUUGAAAUCAUUAGACCGUUUCUGAAACCAGUAGUGAAGUAUGUUGUUUAAUUUGAUAAUCCGCAAAAAACCUUACCACAAUUUGAAUAUUUAUUAUUUAUUGUUAUCUUAUUAAUUUUCUUCCUUUUUUUUUUUAACUAAACAAUUAAACAGGAAAAGAGAAUAAAUUAAUCAAGAGGCAAGAACAUAUAUCUACAAGCGUUGCACGGCUGUCUUCAGUUAAUGUCGCGAGACUUCGGUUAGUUCCGGUAAAUUAACGUAAACCCUUACUUUAUUUUUUAUAUAGAGUAGUUCCCCGCUAUACUGGAUUCUGAU